UAGGGACAACUAAUGUCUUCUCUUAAAAACUUCUAAUUUUUCAGGCCGAUCAAUCAGGGACCAUAGUCGAGGUUAUUGCAGAGGACGGGAAGCCUGUUAGUGUCGACACGCCUUUGUUUCGCAUUCAACCUUAGAUGAAUCCUGUUUCGUUUAACAUGAGUCGAGUUAAGCUGAGUUCAGGAGGCAAAUUGAGUUUCCAAGCAAGUUCAGGUUGUGGAUUAGUUAUGGUAAUGUCUUCUUUUCUCUUUAAUUGAGUGUAAUCAGAGAGAGAUUGUGUUCAUAAAUGACAAUUCCUUUUCCAGUUUAACUUUGGUUGU